rnacentral:lncRNA from 1 species
GCGCAGGCUUCACUGUACUUAAACAGAGUGCCAAAGCUGACAUCACCUUCCUUGUUCUCACAGGGCUCCAGCUGGGUGAACUAUGGGGCAUUUGCCCGGAGUUCAUGCUCAGCAUCAGGGUCAAAGCAAAGGGAACUCUGACAAUGAUUCCAUUGUGAACUUGUUCUGGGAAUGCCAUGAUGAUUCUCUAUCAUGUUCCUCGUACACUGCACCAGCACCACUGCUUCCCUUCCCAGUGAGAACCCGAUCAAGCUUUAUCAUGCAGCCCAGAAGGGUGGGGGAAAGAAAAAGAAUUAGGAGAAAAUGGUUGUAAAAGUAAUGAGAUAAUAUGAGAAUGUGCUUUGGGAACUGCGAAUCUGGAGUCACUGGUCCAUGAGGAAUCUAGGAUAAGAAGAAGGAAGCUGUGAAGAAUGGUUGGCUAACAGUGCUGGCAAGGAAUUCAGAUCAACAUACCUCUCAAAAGAAUGGAAGUCUCUUAAACUCAGGUAAUUGUUAAAUUGGUUCAAGUGUAUUAUGGCAAGAAUGCUUCUCUCUCCUUCCCUAAUAUAACACUGCCCUAAAUGACUCCCUACCUCCCUGUUUUGUCUCACGCUUGACAGUGAAAACAAAGAUAAAUAUUUGAGGAAACAUAAACUCAAUAAUGUCAUUUAUUGGAAAGCUACAGUUUACAGAUUCUUUGCAUUUAUUACCA